GAGGUUAUUUUUGGGGUCUGGGAAUGCUCAAAAUUUUUUCCAUGCACAUUAAUGGUAAUUGCUUUUUUGCCAUUUCAGCUUAUGAAAGGUUUCAGAGGAACCCACAUUUUGAAGAGAAAGUCACUAGGAUUUGCUGACAGAAUGGAUAUGAGGUGUGGUUCCAAGGCUUUUUGGCCAGAGCCAUGGGAAAGGCUGAUAACCAGGAGCUUGAAGUCUUUUAUGUGCUCAGCGGUUUGACAAUAUUGACAAAAAGAGGGCUAGACUCAUUUUUCCACAUCCAAAAAGUGGCUCGGGAAGAAAGCCCGCUGUAGCCUGGACCCUCUGAACGGCUCCGAUUGAGGAAUAAGCAUUGGUAGGCCUGGAGAGAAUGGAGACAGUCAAACAUGCCUUCCGACCAGUCCCAUCCCUACUGAGUGGUUCCCGCCCGCCCGCUCGCGCGCUCUCUUCCUCUCGCUCCCUCCCUCCCUCCCUCCCUCUCUCUUUCAUCUUUUCAUUUUUAAUGAAUAUGAGUAAAAUCCCUCUAGAAC
rnacentral:lncRNA from 1 species